GAAAUUUUCUAGUGAAAGUUAUGGCCUAAUCAUUGUCCUGGGUGAAAUGGAAAAAUGGUUUUAGUGCAGGAAUUUCAGGUUGGAAAUUCUUGACUUCCCCUAACAAUUUUCCUAAGUUGCUUUAGGAUUUGGAUUAUGGUAAAAACACAAAAAUUGUAGUUCUACGUGUUAUGAGCAUUUGGCUUUGGAAUCACUACAUUUACAGUUUUGUAACUCAAGUUAUGGCGUUUUUUCCACAAUUGGUCGGAUACCCUAAAGUUCAGGAUUUACAGGUUCAGGUUUAGUCUAGGGCAGGUUUGCUGGGCUAACUUUGCCUAGCAAUUUGGUUGAGUU
rnacentral:misc_RNA from 1 species